UACACUUUCCCUCUCUUAUUCCUUUAUCCAUUUUCACAUGGACCGAAACUCCCUACUUCUUACUUUCUCCCACUUUCUCUUAUAAAAAUAUUGUUCUGUUUUAAUUAAGUCUAAAAGAAUAAUAUUAUUCUGUCCGUAACAAAUUAAUUACUUUGAAGGUGAGGGGACCAUUUUCAAAGUAGAGAUACGUUUGUGCUUUUAGAUUCUCCCUUGAAAUUUGAAGUAACAAAACAAGGAUAUGGAGAAAGAAGAAAAGAAUGAUGAUGAUGAAAAUGAAGAUGAUGAUGUGACCAAAGUAAGGUAAUCUCCUCUUCCAUGAUGUGAAGAGGGAUGAAGGAAAAGGCAAGUCAUGAAGGCAAAGGGAAGGUAACGCCUUUCUUCCAGGAUCAAUUCAUGUAACUUAGUUAUUUAUGUAACACACGGAUUAAUUUCGGUUUAUUCUCAAAUAUGUACUUUUGUUUUGUUUUAAAACAUGAAGUGCUUGUGCGGAUUGCUAUCUAUGGUGAUUGCUUAUGUUAUGUUUAUUUAUCAAAUUUCCUUAUUGUGUUUCAUGUAAUUUGGAAUCAUUUAUGUUAUUGUUUCUUUUUCCACA